rnacentral:sRNA from 1 species
GGAGGGGCAGAAGUUGCGCGCGGGCCGGCGGGCGGGAGCGGACACCGAGGCCGGCGUGCAGGCGUGCGGGUGUGCGGGAGCCGGGCUCGGGGGAUCGGACUGAGAGCGAGAAGCGCGGCAUGGAGCUCCAGGCAGCCCGCGCCUGCUUCGCCCUGCUGUGGGGCUGUGCGCUGGCCGCGGCCGCGGCGGCACAGGGCAAGGAAGUGGGACCUGAUGCAGAACAUCAUGAAUGACAUGCCGAUCUACAUGUACUCCGUGUGCAACGUGAUGUCUGGUGACCAGGACAACUGGCUCCGCACCAACUGGGUGUACCGAGGAGAGGCUGAGCGUAUCUUCAUUGAGCUCAAGUUUACUGUACGUGACUGCAACAGCUUCCCUGGCGGCGCCAGCUCCUGCAAGGAGACUUUCAACCUCUACUAUGCCGAGUCGGACCUGGACUAUGGCACCAACUUCCAGAAGCGCCUGUUCACCAAGAUUGACACCAUUGCGCCCGAUGAGAUCACCGUCAGCAGCGACUUCGAGGCACGCCACGUGAAGCUGAACGUGGAGGAGCGCUCCGUGGGGCCGCUCACCCGCAAAGGCUUCUACCUGGCCUUCCAGGAUAUCGGUGCCUGUGUGGCGCUGCUCUCCGUCCGUGUCUACUACAAGAAGUGCCCCGAGCUGCUGCAGGGCCUGGCCCACUUCCCUGAGACCAUCGCCGGCUCUGAUGCACCCUCCCUGGCCACUGUGGCCGGCACCUGUGUGGACCAUGCCGUGGUGCCACCGGGCGGUGAAGAGCCCCGUAUGCACUGUGCAGUGGACGGCGAGUGGCUGGUGCCCAUUGGGCAGUGCCUGUGCCAGGCAGGCUACGAGAAGGUGGAGGAUGCCUGCCAGG